AGAGUUUGAUCCUGGCUCAGGACGAACGCUGGCGGCGUGCCUAAUACAUGCAAGCCGAGCGGACCGGAUUGGGGCUUGCCUUGAUUCGGUCAGCGGCGGACGGGUGAGUAACACGUGGGCAACCUGCCCGCAAGACCGGGAUAACUCCGGGAAACCGGAGCUAAUACCGGAUAACACCGAAGACCGCAUGGUCUUCGGUUGAAAGGCGGCCUUUGGGCUGUCACUUGCGGAUGGGCCCGCGGCGCAUUAGCUAGUUGGUGAGGUAACGGCUCACCAAGGCGACGAUGCGUAGCCGGCCUGAGAGGGUGACCGGCCACACUGGGACUGAGACACGGCCCAGACUCCUACGGGAGGCAGCAGUAGGGAAUCUUCCGCAAUGGGCGAAAGCCUGACGGAGCGACGCCGCGUGAGCGAAGAAGGCCUUCGGGUCGUAAAGCUCUGUUGUGAGGGACGAAGGAGCGCCGUUCGAAGAGGGCGGCGCGGUGACGGUACCUCACGAGAAAGCCCCGGCUAACUACGUGCCAGCAGCCGCGGU
rnacentral:rRNA from 1 species